AUUUGAAAGUCUUGAAGAGGGGUAAUUAUUCUUGUACCAUAGAGAUUGUAUUGCUCUUUACAUGGGGGAAAUUUUAUAUUGGAGUACAAUUUGCUAGUUUAACUCAUGGGAUUGUGUGUUUAAUCAAGUUGUAUACAAUCUAAGGGAUAUAUAGCUUGACCAAGUUAGAUACACUGGGGCAUUUUUAUCUUUAUGGUUUGGCCACCCUCUGGACUAUCAGAUCAGUAGGUGCUCAUUAAACAGAGGUAUUUAGCACAUGUAUUGGAGAUAGAAAUUCUUAACUAGAUGCUUUCCAUAGCAAUGGAUAUGGGCUUUUAUGUAGAUUAAGGUGGGAAGCACAGAAGGGAAAUGAUGUUUUGUCACCUCUUCACUGGUAACACUCAUUUCCUGUGGUGGAGAGUUUGGUCAAAUCCUCAACUUAAUGUGCAUCCCACUCUGUUUUGAUGUGGUAUUUGAGCUGAGGUUAAUUUGCGGUUAAAUUAGAUGACUCCUCUGGCUGAAGAAGUGGGUGGUUGUCUUGUAGCAAGCUACACCAUGUAAAGGGGGUCUCUUUGUUGGAUGGAUGUUCAUCUUCCUUAAUGAGCUAAACUCAAAGGAAAAAACUUUUGGGUUCUCAUUGCAAAAAAGAAAAAAAAAAAAAUUGAACUGAAACUUGUCUAAUAGAAAAAAGCGAUUAUUUAUCCUAUGGUGUGGGAGGCUUACUCUUGUAAAAGCACUUCUUUCGAUGUUCUUGAUUAUCCCUAUUCCUUAAUUUCUGGCAAAUACGUUAGUUCAAGUUGAAGUUUAGAAAAAGGUUUCUAUGAGUUUGCAAAGGACAGUAACAUUUCAUAUGGGAAGGGGGACUAGAAGCGCAUUGACAAGGGCAUUCUAGGCACCAAUUGUUUGUCUUUACCUCUGGAGUGGAGGGCUGUUUGUUUUCACUGUUUGACCCCUAAUGGCUAAGUUCAGGUAUUUGGUGAACCAAAAAAGUUACAAUUAUUGGCUAUUUCAAGCCCAACAAUUGUUGAUUCUAAAAGCUCAAAAAUGGAGAUUUUGGACAAAAUUGUGCUUAUUAUAACUUUAUAAGUUAUUAACAAGUGGGCAUUUAAUAGAGCUUUUAAUGUCAAGUAGUUUUAGAGAUUCAUUAUUGAAAAGGGGUCCUCUAAAGUGGAUGUUUGUUGGCUUGUUUUCAAACAUGGCUUGGAUCACAAUGGCUGGGACUCAAAGUGGAUAUUUUGUGUGUGUUUGAGGGUGUCUUGUUUUGGCAUGAUCCAGAGUACAAAUAUUCUUCUCCAAAAUCUGAUUGCUAUAUCUUCGUUUGUUGGCACAGGAUAGGGACAUUUAAGAGAAUAUUGAGUAAUUGUAUGUUCCCCUCAAUGAAAUUCUAUCUUAGAAAAUAUCCUCGUGAGACACUGUCAAGACUGAUUUAAAGAUGUUCUAUAUAUAUUGCGGACGUGCAGAGGGAGGACAUGGCUAGAUUGAUUAGUAGUAAGGAAGAGUGUUUUGAUCUGAUGAUAGCUCGUAUUAUUGGGUCCUUGUUAACAAAUGCAAUAGUGAGGACAGGGAUAACUAACCAAAGAGGUCAAUUUGGAAAGCUUAUGCCUGGGGGAUUGUGGUAGAGGAUCCUGGCCAUUGACAAUUUUCAUGACAUGCGAAAGUUCAAACUUGCUAAAUGCUUUCUGUCUGAAAAAAAAAAAUGCUAUCGUUUUCAUUGAUAAGAAUGCAACUUAUAAAAAGAAAGAAA
rnacentral:misc_RNA from 1 species